UACGUAGGGUGCAAGCGUUUGUCCGGAAUUAUUGGGCGUAAAGAGCUCGUAGGCGGUCUGUCGCGUCGGCUGUGAAAACUCGGGGCUCAACUCCGAGCUUGCAGUCGAUACGGGCAGGCUAGAGUUCGGCAGGGGAGACUGGAAUUCCUGGUGUAGCGGUGAAAUGCGCAGAUAUCAGGAGGAACACCGGUGGCGAAGGCGGGUCUCUGGGCCGAUACUGACGCUGAGGAGCGAAAGCGUGGGGAGCGAACAGG
rnacentral:rRNA from 1 species